CAGUUCGUAUGCAGCCAUCUACAAGACAAGGUAUUUGUAACUCGUUUCCACAACGAAAAUACAGUGCAACCCUCGACUCGAGAAGAAUUUUCCUCCCUCCGGCUUACCAGUCAAGAGCUAUGGAAAAGACAACACUCUUAAGAAGGCUGUCUAAACGAUGAUGAUGCUCAUAAUGGAAGUUGCGCAUCUCUCUAGCAACAUCAUCGAUCGAAGAUUAUGGAAAUUAUUCAUACGACCCACAGUUAACAAAGUUGACUUAAGACGUAGACAUCGACAUCAACAAGGCACAGAAGACGUCAGCGAUUUAUCAUCAGUGUCCGGAGAGGUCGUGUGGUAGUGUUGGGGUAAAAUCUCGCGUAACCGAUUU